AGAGUUUGAUCCUGGCUCAGGACGAACGCUGGCGGCGCGCCUAACACAUGCAAGUCGAACGAGAGAUGAGGAGCUUGCUCUUCAAAUCGAGUGGCGAACGGGUGAGUAACGCGUGAGGAACCUGCCUCAAAGAGGGGGACAACAGUUGGAAACGACUGCUAAUACCGCAUAAGCCCACGGCUCGGCAUCGAGCAGAGGGAAAAGGAGCAAUCCGCUUUGAGAUGGCCUCGCGUCCGAUUAGCUGGUUGGUGAGGUAACGGCCCACCAAGGCGACGAUCGGUAGCCGGACUGAGAGGUUGAACGGCCACAUUGGGACUGAGACACGGCCCAGACUCCUACGGGAGGCAGCAGUGGGGAAUAUUGCACAAUGGGGGAAACCCUGAUGCAGCGACGCCGCGUGGAGGAAGAAGGUCUUCGGAUUGUAAACUCCUGUUGUUGAGGAAGAUAAUGACGGUACUCAACAAGGAAGUGACGGCUAACUACGUGCCAGCAGCCGCGGUAAAACGUAGGUCACAAGCGUUGUCCGGAAUUACUGGGUGUAAAGGGAGCGCAGGCGGGAGAACGAGUUGGAAGUGAAAUCCAUGGGCUCAACCCAUGAACUGCUUUCAAAACUGUUUUUCUUGAGUAGUGCAGAGGUAGGCGGAAUUCCCGGUGUAGCGGUGGAAUGCGUAGAUAUCGGGAGGAACACCAGUGGCGAAGGCGGCCUACUGGGCACCAACUGACGCUGAGGCUCGAAAGUGUGGGUAGUAAACAGGAUUAGAUACCCUGGUAGUCCACACCGUAAACGAUGAUUACUAGGUGUUGGAGGAUUGACCCCUUCAGUGCCGCAGUUAACACAAUAAGUAAUCCACCUGGGGAGUACGACCGCAAGGUUGAAACUCAAAGGAAUUGACGGAAG
rnacentral:rRNA from 1 species